UACGAAGGGGGCUAGCGUUGCUCGGAAUCACUGGGCGUAAAGGGUGCGUAGGCGGGUCUUUAAGUCAGGGGUGAAAUCCUGGAGCUCAACUCCAGAACUGCCUUUGAUACUGAAGAUCUUGAGUUCGGGAGAGGUGAGUGGAACUGCGAGUGUAGAGGUGAAAUUCGUAGAUAUUCGCAAGAACACCAGUGGCGAAGGCGGCUCACUGCCCGAUACUGACGCUGAGGC
rnacentral:rRNA from 1 species